GGGGUAUAUAUACACAUGUUUAGCAGUAAGUUAGUAUUUUUGGCACAGAAUAUGCUGAAUCUGCAUCCUUGCAUUAGAAAAAUUAAUCAACAAAUGCAUCCUAACACUGGGCAACUGUUAAUGGACUACAGUACAAAUUUGCAUUGCUGUUUUAAGAAAAAAAAUUCAACCUAUGGCAAAUCCAUUGCAAUAUGCUACUGCUUUUGUGGAGGUUUGUCCUAUACUUUGUUACCUGGUGCUUACUUUGUUAAUGGUUGUGCUCCUGUCUCCCCGUGAUGCUGAAAAGUGCUGUAUGUACUGCUGAAUGGCAUGUAAUGAUCUUUAAUAUUAUCCAAUGGCAUUAUGGAUAUUACAACUACUACUCAGCACUGAAAAAACUUUGUUUUCAAAGCACUGUACAAACAUGAACUAACCCAAAGUAAGUACAAAAGACCUAAAUGCUAGAGAAUGAAAAUCCAAUUCACAGUGAAAGAUGCAUUUUUCCACCCCAUGUUUCCUCCAUACAGAACAAUUGGGGGAAAUAGAAGACUGUAAAGCCACUCCUGUAGUAGCAGAGCAAUAUUAAUUGGGUAUAGUAGUCUUCACUUCCUAGUAAAGAGCUAGUGGAGUUUUGUGCUGUUUAGCAGCACGUGUCCCAUCCCAGAGGGAAGGGGUGAACUGAUUAAUUUAUGUUUUCAGUUGUAUGUGUGUACAGAUCUGUCUAAAUCCUAAGAUCUUAACUAUGAAAGGGGCAAGAGUGGACAUGCCAGGGGCUCUUGCUACUCCCAGUGACUUCUUACAGAUUUCCUAGGAAAGCAUGGCCAGAGGCUACGUAGAUUCAUACUCUCUAGGACUGGAAGGGACCUCGAGAGGUCAUCAAGUCGAGUCCCCUGCCCUCAUGCCCAUACAUUACUUGUCUGUAUCUGUCUCCUAAAGUAGGGGACAUUUUGGUGGGGGAAAGUAGUGCAUCUGCUAAAGAUUGCUGGGAGUGGGCAAAGUAACAGGUGGUUGAGAGAUGCUGUGAAGGCCUCUGUGAAGAUGGCCCUGUGCCCCCUUGCCAGAGAUCCCCAAACUCUACAUUUGUGGACCUCCCCCCGCAGUGUUUUCUGGCAAUGAGGGGGCCAGGCCCCACUCUCCCCAAAGGAAGAAUGCAGAAGAAACCAAGUGGAAUCUCAGAAAAGCUUGACAGUGUUUAGGCUGAUGGUGCAUUGAGACCUACCCUGUCAUGCUGACCACCAAUUCUGUCUCAUUGUUUCCUUGUACUCCCCCAUCUGCCUGUCUGUCUAUCCAUCUGUUGUCUUUUAGAUUGUAAGCGCUUUGGCAUAGGGACUAUCCUUUUGUUGAGUGUUUGUACAUCUCCUACCACAGUAUCCUGGUCCAUGACCGAGGUUCCUCAGCACUACGGUAAUACAGAUCAUAACCUUGUUGAGUAUUUGGCGCUUUACUUGGGCAUAGAAUUAUCACAUAGUGGAACUCUCAAGCUGUCUGUUUUUACUCCAUUGCAGUUUGCCUGAGUUAGGAUAUCAGAAUUUGGCCAACAAUUUAUAAGUGCUUUAUGACUGAGAAUCAAAGGUGCUAUAUAAACAUAAUGUAUCUAAAAGCAAUCUAUUAUCAAUUUCUCGGCAAUUUGAUUGUAGGUCUGCUGUUGUAUGUUCUCGACCAAAUGAAUGUGGAUCUCCCUGCUUCUUGAUGUAUUAUUCUGACCUCCAUGAUAGCAUAGCUGCUUUUCUCACCUACGAGGGAACAAAUGAAAUGCCCCAACACUGAUUCACUUCUCCACACUGUGAAGCCAACCUGAAAUAUACAAAGUAUGGAGGAAAUUGCAGUGACCAGAGAAUCUAGUUUAAUGGGCUGCUGUACAGGAAGACUUUGUUCUACGAUACAUUCUGGAAACAGCUGUCAAAUGUUACUUACAGAAUAACCUAAAUCUGAGUAGCUUUGUGUUUCACCGCAGUUCAAAGCCGUCACUGCUGUACCUUCAUCAGGCAACAGAGCAACCACGUAGUCACAAAUACUGGUACAUUUGUGUAUGGUACAAUAAAAGAGUGAGAAUCACAUUUCUCAUACUGGUCCUUCUUGUGCUUCAUUUUGGCUUUUAUCUGUACAGUAAUAUUCUUUGUGCUUAUUUGGUCCAUGCAAAGCAAUGUACUGUGUGCAUCACUUGUUAAAUAAAAAUGAAAUUCAAAUUAGAAGAGGACUUGUAUUUUAGAUAAUUUAGGAUUAAUAAAAUAGUAUCAUUUAAACUCUGAUAAUAGAAAUGAGUGGGUCUUGUGCUGUUUUUUCUGUGGGGUCCAUCCUCCUAACUUGAGACAAAAAUCUUAUUUACUUCAGUGCCUUUAAGCGAUGGUUGUUAGCAUCAAUAAUCUACAUACAGUACCUUUGUUGAGUUGUGAGCUGAAGU